rnacentral:rRNA from 1 species
UACAGAGGGUGCGAGCGUUAAUCGGAAUUACUGGGCGUAAAGCGUGCGUAGACGGUAGCGUAAGUCAGAUGUGAAAGCCCCGGGCUCAACCUGGGAAUUGCAUUUGAGACUGCUCUGCUCGGGUGCGGAAGAGGGAAGCGGAAUUUCCGGUGUAGCGGUGAAAUGCGUAGAUAUCGGAAGGAACACCAGUGGCGAAAGCGGCUUCCUGGUCCGACACCGAUGUUCAGGCACGAAAGCGUGGGGAGCAAACAGG